GUAUAAGGCAAGUAUACUGUGAAACUGCGAAUGGCUCAUUAAAUCAGUUAUCGUUUAUUUGAUGGUACCUUACUACAUGGAUAACCGUGGUAAUUCUAGAGCUAAUACAUGCUAAAAACCCCGACUUUCGAAGGGGUGUGUUUAUUAGAUUAAAAACCAAUGCCCUUCGGGGCUCCUUGGUGAUUCAUAAUAACUUCACGAAUCGCAUGGCCUUGCGCCGGCGAUGGUUCAUUCAAAUUUCUGCCCUAUCAACUUUCGAUGGUUUUGUCUUGGAAAACCAUGGUUUCAACGGGUAACAGAGAAUUAGGGUUCGAUUCUGGAGAGGGAGCCUGAGAAACGGCUACCACAUCCAAGGAAGGCAGCAGGCGCGCAAAUUACCCAAUCCCAAUUCGGGGAGGUAGUGACAAUACAUAUUGAUACAGGGCUCUUUUGGGUCUUGUAAUCGAAAUGAGUACAAUUUAAAUCCCUUAACGAGGAACAAUUGGAGGGCAAGUCUGGUGCCAGCAGCCGCGGUAAUUCCAGCUCCAAUAGCGUAUAUUAAAGUUGUUGCAGUUAAAAAGCUCGUAGUUGAACCUGGGGCUCGGUCGAUCGGUCCGCCUCACCGCGUGCACUGAUGCGAUCGGGUUCUUCUUCCUGGGGAUCCGCAUGCCCUUCACUGGGUGUGUCGGGGAAGCAGGACAUUUACUGUGAAAAAAUUAGAGUGCUCAAAGCAGGCCAACGCUCGCAUAGAUUAGCAUGGGAUAAUAAAAUAAGACGAACGUCCUAUUUUGUAAAUUUCUAGGGCUGUCGUAAUGAUUAAUAGGAUCAGUCGGGGGUGUCUGUAUUGCCUUGUCAGAGGUGAAAUUCUUGGAUCUAGGCAAGACAAACUACUGCGAAAGCAUUCACCAAGGAUGUUUUCAUUAUUCAGUGAACGAAAGUUAGGGGAUCGAAGACGAUCAGAUACCGUCGUAGUCUUAACCAUAAACUAUGCCGACUAGGGAUCGGGCGCUGUUUCUUAUUGACGCAGCUCGGCACCUUACGAGGAAAUCAAAGUUUUUGGGGUUCUGGGGGGGAAUAUGAGUCCGCAAAGAUCU
rnacentral:rRNA from 1 species